rnacentral:rRNA from 1 species
GUUGGUGAGGUAACGGCUCACCUAGGCAAUGAUAGGUAGGCGGCCUUAACGGGUGGUCGCCCACACUGGGAUUGAGAUACGGCCCAGACUCCUACGGGAGGCAGCAGUCGAGAAUAGUCUACAAUGGUCGGAAGACUGAUAGUGCGACGCCGCGUGAACGAUGAAUCCCUUCGGGGUGUAAAGUUCUUUUAUAUGUGAGCAGUGCUUCUUAUAUUAAGAGUAUGGGGAGAGAGAUAUUAGCAUAUGAAUAAGCAACGGCUAACUCCGUGCCAGCAGCCGCGGUAACACGGGGGUUGCGAGCGUUGUCCGGAAUUACUAGGCGUAAAGGGCAGGCAGGCGGAUCCAUAAGUUUAUCGUUUAAGGCGUCGGCUUAACCGGCGUAGGGCGGUAGAUACUGUGGAUCUGGAAUGCGGUUGGGGAAGACAGAAUUCCUGGUGUAGCGGUGGAAUGCGCAGAGAUCAGGAGGAAUACCGAAGGCGAAGGCAGUCUUCCAAGCCGUUAUUGACGCUCAACUGCGAAGGUGUGGGUAUCAAACAGGAUUAGAUACCCUGGUAGUCCACACAGUAAACGAUAAUCACUGGGUGUCGGGUUCGCAUAGGAUUCGGU